GUUGUGCUGAAAAAUGUGCUACAAAGUUUUAACCAUAUGUAAUCAUUAGUUUUGUGUUCUAAAAAUUUUACCCCAGCUUUCAAGUUUGAUUUUACAAAAACUGAAAUUCCUCCCGAUAUUUUAUUGGACUUUUUGGAUUUUGCUCUUGAUAAAUGGACUGAAUUAAACCCAUUAAUAACUAAUGAUUCCUCCUGGGUACAAUGUGUCUCCAAUAAACAAACAAUAUCCUUUGUUUCUAUUUCUCUUAAAAAUCUAAAGUCCUGAUAUUUAUUGUACCCUUUACUUUUAAAACCAUUUAUAUUCCAGCAACUGAUAUGUAAUUUCGAUUUCUU
rnacentral:lncRNA from 1 species